rnacentral:rRNA from 1 species
UCCAGACUCCUACGGGAGGCAGCAGUGGGGAAUAUUGCACAAUGGGGGAAACCCUGAUGCAGCGACGCCGCGUGAAGGAAGAAGUAUCUCGGUAUGUAAACUUCUAUCAGCAGGGAAGAAAACAGACGGUACCUGACUAAGAAGCCCCGGCUAACUACGUGCCAGCAGCCGCGGUAAUACGUAGGGGGCAAGCGUUAUCCGGAUUUACUGGGUGUAAAGGGAGCGUAGACGGAAAGGCAAGUCAGAAGUGAAAGCCCAAGGCUCAACCAUGGGACUGCUUUUGAAACUGUCAAACUAGAGUACGGGAGAGGUAAGAGGAAUUCCUAGUGUAGCGGUGAAAUGCGUAGAUAUUAGGAGGAACACCAGUGGCGAAGGCGUCUUACUGGACCGAAACUGACGUUGAGGCUCGAAAGCGUGGGGAGCAAACAGGAUUAGAUACCCCUGUA